rnacentral:lncRNA from 1 species
UUCCAGAAGAGGAUCAUCUCCUGAGAAAUCUUGGCGCCCUGAGUUGACAUCUUUGCUGGAGACUGACAGCUGGAAUGAGAUGUUCAAGUGAAGAAGAUGAAGAGAAACACGUCUCUUUAAGAGGUAAGGAACCUGGUGAACAUCCGAAGACUCACCUGCUCCCUGAUGUCUUCCCACAAGCACAUCUGCUCCCACCAUGCAGCCCAUUCCCAGGAUGCAGACAACGAUGCCGAUGAAAUGCACAGCCUUGUACCGGAUCAGCAGGAAGAACCAGGAGAGCAAAAUCACGACUGGGAUCACAAAACAGUCCAGGAGCUAUUGGGAGGGAUGAAGGUAAACAACAACAGGAGAUUCAGGAGGAAGCAUUCCAUGUAGUAGGGAAAAGUAAUUUAGUUCUGCAGAAAGGGUUCUGCCUUUCCCCUGAACCUGAGAUUUUGUGUAGACCCAGACUUGAUGUACUUAAAACAGACUCUGAAAUAAAUGGAAAUUAGCUUUAUUUAUUUACUUAAUUGUAAACAUCCCCCAAACUUUAAGGGAAAGGGGAGAAGGCAAAUUGAUAAGACAGGCUGGUGGUGAAGAGUCUCCUGCCUCCAGGUGCUGGGGCAGCUCUGCCUCCUGUCUUCCUCAGGGCCAGGCCAUGCUCCAUG